rnacentral:lncRNA from 1 species
CAGCAAGAACUCUGCAUGUUGAGACAUGGUGGUAUUAAUACAACAGUUCAGGGGUAUUAUCAGUUAAGCAGAUUUUUGUAGGAUGCCACAAGGACUUAACUGUCAGGUAAAACAUUGAUCGAUCAUGAAAGGGAAAGUUUGGCAGUUUCUCAUGGACUGUAUGCUGUUAUGUAUGUAAAAGCACAAUGACUGAACACUGAGGGAAUGAAAAAUUAUGGUUGUAGUGCUCUGGAAUUUAAAUGAAAGACAGCACUGAUCAGAGGGGAGGAAGUAGAGGUGAACAUUAGGCCUGAAUUCCGAAUUUCAUGGUAGGAUAUGGGCUGGGGAAACUCAUUUGGAUUCUAGGCUCUGCUGCAAACCAUUCAAGAAAAGUAUGUCUUUUGGCCAUCAUUACAGAAAUAGCACACAUCAGAAGUUCCAAUCAAUUGGGUGGGGCACACUGGCAGAUACUAUGGUGGUCAAAACUCUUCUUUCAUUUAUUUGCUUGUUUGUUUAUUUAAUUUUUAUAGCAGCAGAUCUUGGGCGUCUUGGGUUACUUAAAAGGACAUGGAAACUGUCAGAACGAAAUUUUUUCAACCAUAUGACAUUCAUCAUGUCGUGGAACUCAGGGGAAAACAGCUUCAUCUCCAGCACCAUGAUUGGGCCCUGAUGAACUGAAGCCAAGAUCAUUCACCUGACCUCAAGGAUUAGGUCCUACUGGACCAACCUGGGCCAAAGACGAACCAGUCUAUUUUCUGGGGACUUCUGGGGAACAUGAAUUCUUGUUUUUUCCUCAGAAUUGAUGUGAAAAGACACACAUUUUUUUCCUCUAGGUGGUAUGCAUGCAAUGGUUUGAAUGUGUUCCUUAUAAAGCAUGUGCUGGAAGCUUAAUCCCCAGUGCAAUAGUGUUGAGAGGCAGAGCCUAAUGGGAGAUAUCUAGGUCAUGAGGGCUCUAUCCUCAUGAAUGGAUUGAGGCCAAUGAUAAAAGGCUCAAGACUGUGAGUUUUACCUCUUGUUGUCUGUUGCACUCCCUGUCUCUCACCUUCUGCCACAAGAUGAUGCAGCAGUAAGGCCCUCAUCAGAUGCUGGCCCUUUUAUCGUGAACUUCCCGGCCUCCAGAACCAUGAAAAAUAAAUUUGUUUGUUAUACAUUGUUCAGUCUCAGGUAUUCUGUUAUAGCAACACUAAACGG